rnacentral:rRNA from 1 species
UACGUAGGGGCGGAGCGUUGUCCGGAAUGACUGGGGCGUAAAGGGCGUGUAGGCGGCCGAUUAAGUCUGGAGUGAAAGUCCUGCUUUCAAGGUGGGAAUUGCUUUGGAGACUGGUUGGCUUGAGUGCGGAAGAGGUAAGUGGAAUUCCCAGUGUAGCGGUGACAUGCGUAGAGAUUGGGAGGAACACCAGUGGCGAAGGCGACUUACUGGGCCGUAACUGACGCUGAGGCGCGAAAGCGUGGGGAGCGAACAGGAUUAGAUACCCCCGUAGUCCCUGAG